CACACACACACACACACACACAUAGCCAAACCAGUCCAUCAGGCAGCCAGAAUAGAGCUCAUCAAUCAUAACUAUAUUUAUCAACAGGAGGAUGUUAGAGAUUACUCAAAUCAACAUUUAAAUACCAGCGUGGUUUGGGCUGUGUGUGUGUGUGCAUGUGCGUGUGCGUGUGUGGGUGUUUUGGGCUGUGUGUGUGUGUGCAUGUGCGUGUGCGUGUGUGGGUGGUUUGGGCUGUGUGUGUGUGCAUGUGCGUGUGAGGGUGGUUUGGGCUGCGAAGUUGAAAGCAGAUGAUGUAAACUACUUGUUUUGCUCCAUAGUUUUGAUAAUUGGUUGUCGGUCAUAGGACUUCUGAGUGUGUGUGUGUGUGUGUUCUAGGGAUCCUGAAACAGAAACACUGGGGAGUAUAAACUUCUGACAAAGCACAGUUAUUGAUAUCUCACGGGGCAGUCAACACAUCACAUGGUGAGAACCAGAGGAGAAUGUCACAGCUUCUCAGAACCAGAGGAGAAUGUCACAGCUUCUCAGAACCAGAGGAGAAUGUCACAGCUUCUCAGAACCACAGGAGAAUGUCACAGCUUCUCAGAACCAGAGGAGAAUGUCACAGCUUCUCAGAACCACAGGAGAAUGUCACAGCUUCUCAGAACCACAGGAGAAUGUCACAGCUUCUCAGAACCAGAGGAGAAUGUCACAGCUUCUCAGAACCACAGGAGAAUGUCACAGCUUCUCAGAACCACAGGAGAAUGUCACAGCUUCUCAGAACCACAGGAGAAUGUCACAGCUUCUCAGAACCACAGGAGAAUGUCACAACUUCUCAGAACCACAGGAGAAUGUCACAGCUUCUCAGAACCACAGGAGAAUGUCACAGCUUCUCAGAACCAGAGGAGAAUGUCACAGCUUCUCAGAACCAGAGGAGAAUGUCACAGCUUCUCAGAACCAGAGGAGAAUGUCACAGCUUCUCAGAACCACAGGAGAAUGUCACAGCUUCUCAGAACCAGAGGAGAAUGUCACAGCUUCUCAGAACCAGAGGAGAAUGUCACAGCUUCUCAGAACCAGAGGAUAACGUCACAGCUUCUCAGAACCAGAGGAGAAUGUCACAGCUUCUCAGAACCAGAGGAUAACGUCACAGCUUCUCAGAACCAGAGGAGAAUGUCACAGCUUCCCAGAACCAGAGGAGAAUGUCACAGCUUCUCAGAACCACGGAGAAUCUCACAGCUUCUCAGAACCAGAGGAGAAUGUCACAGCUUCUCAGAACCACAGGAGAAUGUCACAGCUUCUCAGAACCACAGGAGAAUGUCAUAGCUUCUCAGAACCAGAGGAGAAUGUCACAGCUUCUCAGAACCAGAGGAGAAUGUCACAGCUUCUCAGAACCACAGGAGAAUGUCACAGCUUCUCAGAACCAGAGGAGAAUGUCACAGCUUCUCAGAACCAGAGGAUAACGUCACAGCUUCUCAGAACCAGAGGAGAAUGUCACAGCUUAUCAGAACCAGAGGAUAACGUCACAGCUUCUCAGAACCAGAGGAGAAUGUCACAGCUUCCCAGAACCAGAGGAGAAUGUCACAGCUUCUCAGAACCACAGGAGAAUGUCACAGCUUCUCAGAACCAGAGGAGAAUGUCACAGCUUCUCAGAACCACAGGAGAAUGUCACAGCUUCUCAGAACCACAGGAGAAUGUCAUAGCUUCUCAGAACCAGAUGAGAAUGUCACAGCUUCUCAGAACCAGAGGAGAAUGGCAUAGCUUCUCAGAACCAGAGGAGAAUAUCACAGCUUCUCAGAACCAGAGGAGAAUGUCACAGCUUCUCAGAACCAGAGGAGAAUGUCACAGCUUCUCAGAACCAGAGGAGAAUGUCACAGCUUCUCAGAACCAGAGGAGAAUGUCACAGCUUCUCAGAACCAGAGGAGAAUGUCACAGCUUCUCAGAACCAGAGGAGAAUGGCAUAGCUUCUCAGAAACAGGAAAGAGAUGAACGUGGAAAGAACUCAAAUUCUAAAAAAAAUACUUUUCACAAGUCAUUGUUGGGACUAGAAGGUUCUAUCUGCAUUUUAGUCAGAAUGUAGUUAUUGACAUAGCCUUGUUCUGUUCAAUGUUCUCUACCUGUAUAGAACAUUAAAUACCCCCAUUUCAUGUUAAGUUCAAAAUAAUACAAUAUCAAAAUUGCUGACACCAUUCAAACCAAUGAGGAUUCGGAACUUUAAAGCCAGUUAUCUCAGAAUCAUCUUUUUGCAGAUAGAACCUUACAGUCCCAAGCUCUAGCAUUGUAUUUUUUUAUAACUUUUUUUGUUUGCUGUAUGUAUCAUUCAUUUUACUGUAGAUUUGUUUUCUUCUUCUGACACACACACACACACACACACACACACACACACACACACACACACACACACACACACACACACACACACACACACUCUCUUCUCUGGUGUGCUGUGAGUCUCUGAGAGGUAAUAUGUUUCUGUGAUGAGCCUUCAUGACUUCACUCAGGCAGGACAUGAGCCUGUCAUAAAACACACUGGCCCUGCUCUGGCCCGACACACACACACACACUGUUUCAAGUAAGCGUCUGAGAAAGGGAGAUCAGACUGAAGGGAAAAAAUCACAGUGUGAUUUAGAUAGUGAAGUGUGAAGAUUGGCAUUUAAAUAAUCUGGGUGAAUUUCAAUGAAAACAAAUGUAAAAUAUAUAUUAAUGUAGCACAAAACACUGACAUCAUGUUCUGUAGAUCUGAGUGGCAUAAAGAGAAAGAGAGAGAGAGAGGGAGAGAGAGACACUGUGCUGAAAGUUGCAGUGUCAUUGUCCAGCUGUCUUUUGGUUUUCUGGAGAAACAGAAGGUUGGUUUGUAUUCUUCACCUCCUCUGACUCCUCUUUCCUCUCUUUCCCCUCUCCCUUCUGCAGACGCUGGCGGUACGGGGGGUGGUUCUGAACACACACAGACAGACGGAAGGUUCUGUAUCACGUAGAGUCUGUACUGUUUGUGUUCUCCAAACCCUUGAAGUUUAAUUUAUGUGACAAAAGUUGGUUAGAGUACAGAUAUUAUAUAACUAUACAGUGGAGAGUUCAGCUACCCAUUUAUUCAUGAUUCCCUCGCUGGCGAUCUUCACCUCCAUUCGGUCACUGAAAAUCUCUUUCUUCAUCCUGGACACACAAGAAAAGGAAACACAGGAAAGGUUAAAGCGGCAGUUCAGUUCUAAAUCAAUAUUUGUCAAAG
rnacentral:lncRNA from 1 species